ACUCCCUCUGUCCCUAUUUAGUUGUCCACUUUAGAAAUGGCACACAGAUUAAUGCAACAAUGAUUAGUAUAGUGAAGUUACAAUUUUACCCUUAUAGUACAAUUUACAAUUCCAAAAUAAAUUCACUCAAGAUAACUAAUCAAUGCUAGGAAGUUCAUAAGUUUAUUUACUUUAUUUAUGACAACUUUAUUUAAAUAAGGGUAUAAUAGGAAAAAAAUUGUUGUCUUUUCUUGAUUUGUCAAAAUGGACAACUAAAUAGGGACAACUAAAAGAGGAAAUAUGGACAACUAAAUAGGGACGGAGGGAGUAUUA
rnacentral:lncRNA from 1 species